rnacentral:rRNA from 1 species
CGCGUAGGCGGCCCGGUAAGUCCGCUGUAAAAGUCAAAGGCUCAACCUUUGAAUGCCGGUGGAUACUGUCGGGCUAGAGUCCGGAAGAGGCGAGUGGAAUUCCUGGUGUAGCGGUGGAAUGCGCAGAUAUCAGGAGGAACACCAAUAGCGAAGGCAGCUCGCUGGGACGGUACUGACGCUAAGGCGCGAAAGCGUGGGGAGCAAACA